AUUGAACGCUGGCGGCAGGCCUAACACAUGCAAGUCGAGCGAGCGGCGGACGGGUGAGUAAUGUCUGGGAAACUGCCUGAUGGAGGGGGAUAACUACUCGAAACGGUAGCUAAUACCGCAUACCAUCAGAUGUGCCCAGAUGGGAUUAGCUAGUAGGUGGGGUAAUGGCUCACCUAGGCGACGAUCCCUAGCUGGUCUGAGAGGAUGACCAGCAACACAGGAAAUGAGAAACGGUCCAGACUCCUACGGGAGGCGGCAGUGGGGAAUAUUGCACAAUGGGCGCAAGCAUGAUGCAGCCAUGCCGCGUGUGUGAAGAAGGCAUUCGGGUUGUAAAGCACUUUCAGCGAGGAGGCGUUACUCGCAGAAGAAGCACCGGCUAACUCCGUGCCAGCGGCCGCGGUAAUAC
rnacentral:rRNA from 1 species